CUUAGCUCUCCUUCUAGGCAACCAAGUGGUGUGCAUGAAGUGUUUGGGCUAUUUCUGAGCAAAAUUUGUGCAGUGAAGUUAUCCCUCUGCAUAGUAGUACUGGCCUUUCUACAGUGAACUUGGCUAGGUUGUGAAGUAAUUCCUUGGUAUAAUGUAUGAAUAUUUCAGAAGCCUUGACUGAUCACAGGAACCAUUCUACCUGACACACUAAUAAAGGCAAAUCUCACUUCCAGCACCUUACAAAACUACAGGAGGCAUAUUUGUGAUUCUUUGAAAAGGAAAGCCUGUGACAAAUGUAAAUAAUUCACAAAUGCUAAAACAUCUACUUCAUCUAAAUAAAUAUUUUUAAGUGUGG
rnacentral:lncRNA from 1 species